UUGAAAAAGAAGUGUAAGAACAAAAGGGUCGGUGAGUUUGACACACGCCGCCGUGGGAGACUGGUGUGCCAUCACCGUUGAAAAAGAAGUGUAAGAAGAAAAAGGUCGGUGAGCUUGACACGCGCCGCCGGGAGAGACUGGUGGUGAAAGAAAGUCUCAAUGGCUGAAACUAGCGCGUUGAGUUGAGUUGUCCCACAUCGGAGAUCUGGGCGUGAGGGGGGUGUUGAGUUGUCCCACAUCGGAGGGAUUUGAGGUCCUUGGUCUCCUUAUAUGGCUUGGGCAAUCCUCACCUCAUAAGCNNNNNNNNNNNNNNNNNNNNNNNNNNNNNNNNNNNNNNNNNNNNNNNNNNNNNNNNNNNNNNNNNNNNNNUUUGAGGUCCUUGGUCUCCUUAUAUGGCUUGAGCAAUCCUCACCUCAUAAGCUAGCUUUUGGGGUUGAGUUAGGCCCAAGGUCCAUUCUUAUCAACCACUAAAUCUGUCAACUGAUGUAUAAUAUGAUACACAACAUUUUAAUGUACUCAGGUCCGUGAGUAUCAUGUAACAGUUGAAUUAGUUUUGCGAGGGGUCUGUGAUGGAUAGAUUGAUGUUCUUGAAUCAAUACAAGAUUAAACCGAAAUACUGCUCAAAUGCAUGGAAGAUAUAGAGUUGUUGUGAGGAGCCAUGCAUGAAUGUCAAAAUAAAAUGGUAAUUUGAGCUCUUGGGGAGAUUGUUUGCCCUUUGUAGGAAGGUUCAACUUUAUGAGAAUCUUAGAUAGAUGGUCGGUUAGACAUGAUGCGAGCUCUGAGUUAUUGAAUCAUUUAAAUGAUGAAACUGUAAGUAUACAGAUCCAAAAGAUAAAGUAUGCCAGAUAAAUGAGGUUGCUGAUAUUGUCCUAGAAACUUACCUGCAAGAGUUUGAGACUAUCUUUUUUAUCAAUAUAAUCAUUACUUACCUGUUCAAAGAAAAAUAUCUGAAAGAGUUUGAAUUGUUUUUCCAUGUUCUUAUUUUAUUCUCCUGGAAAAAAUGUUUAUACAAUAAAUGAUUUGCAAGUCAUGUGUACUGUCAUGCUUACAAUAUUUAGAUGCUUACAAAAUUUACAUUUUCGGUGUAAGAGGAGGACCAUUGUACAGGACAUUGGAAACAUCCGGACCUUAUGAGCUUCUUUCACUCAUAACAUGAGACAUCCUGGACUACUUGUACAUUUUCAGCCACUGCAUAUAAAUGCAACAGAAAUGAAUAACACCAUAAACAUUGAACUCUAUUGAUCUAAUAGGAACGUGUUACUAUCUUCACUUUGCUACUAGGAAUUCCAGUUUCUGGAUGAUUUGAUUUAGAUGAAACUGGCAUUCCCUACUCAUUCUUUCUUCUUUAAUUCAAGAGUAGGUAAUGUUAUCAGCGCUUAUGGUGGUGGGAGUUGGAAUGAAGUUGCAUAGCAUUGUCGGAAUAUGACUUCUAAUUUUGUUUUUGUUUGUUUACUAAUUGUAUGGGCGAAAAACCUCACAUCAGAUAUUUGAUCUGGUCAGUGGAGAUAAAGCCUUUGAAGGCCAUGACGUGUCGAUCUGUCCCAAAGGUCGAGGUCACAUAAGGAAGGCGAAUUGUCGUCGAGGACGAGGUGGCUCGACAGAAGACGAGGACAAGGACGAGUACCCGACCUUAGUACGCAGUAACUUAAGGAUUUUGAUUUCCUAAGGGAAUAUUCUAGUGAAUAUUCCUCUCUGUUGUACUAUAUAUGGUUUUAUGGCCCAUGUACCCUUAUAAAUAGGAAGAGAUGAAGUUCUAGAAAAGGGCGAACAUUUCUGUAAAGAACAACAUUGACAUUCUCUGUGAAGAUUCUCUCUUUAUUAAAUACAUAAAAAGUUUACCUUUUUACUCCUUUUCUUCUAUCUUUCUCUUCCGGUCCAAUAAGAAUCGAAAUAUUCAAUUACUUAUCAUCAUCCAUCAUUGUUAGAAAGCUUAGUGGAAAAUCUCACCCUUAUCGGGUGAACCUUAUUCUAUUGAUUAGUUAAAUGCUAUUUAUUGCUAUCUUUCACGUUCUUAAGCCAUUAUUGCUCUAAGACACUCUUAUCUUACAACACACAUCCGAUACUCCCCAUAAAAAUAC
rnacentral:lncRNA from 1 species